CUUUUUAUUUGACAAGAGAGGCAAUAGGGUUACGAAGAUCGUUUUCUCAGAGCGGAGCUUUUAUCCGGGUGUGCAGACCCCUGUGAUUUCCCCAAAUGUGGGAAAUUCGAUUGCAUAAUUUGUGGUAGCAGGAAACUUCGUUUGCGUUGUUCCUGG